AACAGGCCCCGCGCGUAGCGGGACGGCUGCGUUGCUUGUCGCGCUUUCCGAGUCCAGUUUUCUGUAGCUGAGUUUCCGUCUCCUCGCGAAGGAGCCGAGGAAGGGAACCACGCCUUCUCGCUUCUCGUCCGUGUCUUAAAACAAUCAAAACCUAGGCUUCCAGUUGGCUGGGAGGAGGGCUUGGGAGACGCGACGCGGUUUUGUUUUCCCUGUUCACUUAUUAAUUGGGGCCACGUUUAUGGGUGCGGGCUGGCGGUCCUAGAGAUGACAGAUAGCUCUGUCCUGCAGGUGCAGACGGCGAGCAGAAGGACUCACGAGUGACGGUCGUAGUCGUUCUGGACUGUGAAGCUGUUGGAUAUUGUAUCCAGCUUGAUGUAUGAGUGUGUACGCCCGACCGUCUCAGGGGUCCCGUGGCAGGUCUGGCAAGCCUAGAGAGGUCAGGUAACCACAGAGCAUACCUGGUCAGAGCAUACCUGAACCCGCCUCUCCCCUCGUUCUUAUGCAUUCAGGAUAACAUACUUCUGAAAUGUCAAAGUUUUCUUUUCCAGGUAACUUGGGAGCAGAUUCACUGGCAACAGUCUGUCAACACGGAAAGCCCUUUCAUUGCUUUCAUGUUGUCAAUAGACCAUCUCAGUUCCCGAUGUCGGAUGUUAACCGUCCUGCACUCACCAAUGUUGAAGCCAAACUCAAGUUGCUAACUCGACUUUCAGGCUGUGAUGGUCAGAAACGGCUGUCUUUUUUUUUUUUUUUUUUUUGGAGGACAGGUAUGGUAAGAUCCUUAAUCCUAGGGUGUUGUAAAAUUUUUAUUUGGCUAGUUACUGAGAUCCUAUAAUGGUAUAUGAAACUGGGACACUGAAAAAGUAUAAGAAUGAGUAUGGAUUAAAAUUAAAAAAUUAAAUCCAUGGUAUUCACAUACUUGUAACCAGUUUGAUAUAUAUUUAGUUUGUUAUUACAUUAAGUGGGUCCUUUUUGCUUUUAAGAUAAAACUUUAAGGGAUCUUUUAUAUCAGACUUGAGAUUUUAAAUUCUUAUAAGUGCUAACUCAACAUUGGAAUAUCCAUUUUAAGGCAUGUGUUAAUUUAUUGAAUGUGCUAAGGGGUUAUCCUGUUUCCACCAUAGCUGGACAUUGGCUGUUUAGGAAAAAAUCCUAAAGGAGAUUUUCUUUGUUCCUAGUGAGCACUUUUUCCCUCAGAAAAAUAAAGUUCUUUCACAGGUACCAGAAGGCUAGGUAUUUCAGCUUUGUAAUCAGCCUUGUUCUUGGUAUAGAAGUCUGCUACUGUUUGUAUUGCGUGUGUGUAGUGCGUAGUUUGCAUGUGUCUGUCUAUAAGCCACAUAAGGCAUUUCUCUAGAGGAACCUAAUCAAUUAUUUCUCUAGGUUAUCAAUGGCUAACUCUUAAAACCUUCAGGCCUCACUUGAAGAGAAAUUGAAGUAAUUUUGUACCAAACACUCAAAUUUUACCAGGUAAUUUAGGAAAGAGUGCAAAACGCCAUGGCUUAAAAUGAUCUAAUAGUUGGCCAGUUCACCAUGUUUCCUGUAUAAACAAAAAUUUUAAGUUAGUGAAUUUUGGUUGCCAUUAUUGACAGAAGAUAGUACAUUUCAGUUGUUAGUUUAAGAUAUUAAAAAAGGUGGUAUAUUCCAGAGUUCACAUUUCAGUCACUUCUCAUGAGCCAAGCCAGACUUUAUAAUUUUCCAAAUAGAAAGCUCAUGGUUUUUCUGGAAGCAGGACAAGGUUGCAAACCAGCCUUUCAAUGAAGAAAAUUAAAACAAUCAAAAGCUUAGGGAUUAAAAAAAAAGUAGGGAAGAAAAGGAGAAAAGCUUAGGGAUUAAGCUUCCCCUGAUAUCAUGUGGGUAUACAGAAAUAUUACAGGUAAGAGAUUUCUGAGUUUAUCCAGAUUCUGAACACAUGUAAGAUUUAAGCAACACUAAAUUAAAUUAGUAGCAUGGCAUAUCCCACCCUCUCUUAAUGGCUUCCAACUAGAAAAUUGUAGGGCAAUUAAAUGCUGUUUCCAUUAAAAAUCUCAUUUUACUUAGAAAUAAGAAUUCUGACAGCCCAUUAAAAUACAAACUCUUUUACAGAAAAAUCAGAUAUUCCACUUUACAAAACAGUUAAAUUACAAAGUAAUCCAGUUCCUUUCUGGUUCCUUUAGUUUAAAUAGUAAAUGAUUCUAAUGAAUGCAAAAUUUCAGACUUACCUUUUUCCAGGAAUACAGCAAUUGCAUGAUGAAUAAAACUCCUUUUUGAUGUAUUUAUAUGGCAGUGUCUUAGGCCAUUCAAACCUGAUCCCAGUUGUGGAGCUGAGGAAUGUUUUGUGUUUUACAGGCAUGCAGAUAGGAGCACAGAGCUACAGUGAUGGAGGAAGGAAAGGAAUUCAGUUCUCCUGGGCCAGCGGCUUUAGAAAGGGCUGUGCUGAGCAUCACCACCUCAUUGGUUCCCAGUCACAGUGUGCAGGGAACCCUUGUGUCAGCAUGAUGAAACCUCAUGGGAAAGAAUGAUAUCUGUAGUUGGCAGAAGUCUCCAAGAUGCUGUUGUUCUAUUAGCCCUCAUCAGCAUGAUAUGAGUGCUGUCACACACAAACACACACAUACCCUGUGCAUCACCAAUGUCUGAGUGCUGUUGGUCAGAGCCCGUGGAGAUCAGCCCAGGUGAGUUGAAUUAUAGCUGAUGAAUGCUUUGGUGGUAAAUGUUUUGUUCUUCUCCACAGAUUACAUAUGUCCAUAUGGUUGACAUGUUUCCAGGAACUUUUUCUGCUUUUGUUUGUCUGUUUUGCUGUCAUUUCUACAUUGAGCCAUUGUUUUUUUCUGGUACAACAUUUGAUAUAAAAAUCAGGGAACUGACAGGCUGAUGCACAUGUGUAGCUUAAAAACAACACUGUCACCUGACUUAUUUUUUGCUUGCUUCCACCUUUUUCCAAGCAUUUGAUUAUCCUUAGAAACAUCUUGAAAUUUAAAAAAACAUAUAUGUUUAUGGAUGAAAAGAUGUUUAUCAGCAUGCACAUAUAACAAGGGACAGAAACUGCCUCCAGAAGAAAUUAUACAAAUCUGUUAAUUUAUUACAAAAUGUCCACUCACAGAAAACCGCAAGAAAACAUUUAUAUUUGAGAAAGGAACUGUGUCUCAGGUACAAAAUAAUUCACAUAUAAUUCAUACAAUUUUAUAUAGAAAUAGGUCAUUAUUACAACAGCUGUACUACACUUCAACUUGUAAUUACAUAAACUCUUUUCUUUAGAAACA